CGAGCCCAAUGGACGUAGACGUGGUGUAAAAUGCUUAUUUUGGCUUCCAUGCGAUUCUUCCACAAGCAAACGGUGAAACUGAUACGAAUGAGGAGUAUGAAGAGAGAAAAAACAGGCGUCAGGAGGUUCACAGCGGCCACAUGAUGACGGUUUAAAGUUUGCCACGAAUGAACAUGUCAGGGUUAACACGCCGCCCAUGAUCUCCAUUCGGCGCCUCGUCGCUGACGGCCCUGUAACUUUGCUACGGCCACAAAUUUACAAAGACCUAAACAUUAGUAGACGACAUUUUACACCGCCUGUAAGUAACGCUACAGUUCGGGGGCCCCACCGACUAGGACUGGAAGGCACUGACAAAAUGGCAUUCGUCCCCGGCACGAGUAAGACUGAGAAUUACAUAAGGACGUCCUCAGCCCGUUCAGCUGAACCAAAUCAGGAGACAUGCAGACACGCUGGCAAGAGCAGUGGUGCAGUGGGCAUGUCCAUCCUUGAUUUUCAAUCAGGGGCAGUUUGCCAUUUAAUUCUACUAACACACCUGGAGCGAUUCCUCCCCACCAGUCUACAAACAAUGCUUCACAAUGCGUGGAAGGAUGGACAGAAACACCUCUGCAUUUUUUUC